GAAAUUAUUAGCUGAAAGAAAUCAUUUAAAGAGAGCAAAAGGUACAGAGGCAGGAACUAGUGCAUUCUUAAGAAACGGUAAGCAGCCCCGUUUGGCUGGAGUACAAGUUACGUAAAAGAAAGCAGUGGGUGAUAAAGGCUGGAAAUCUGGGUUGGGAUCAGGUCGUGGAGUGCCUCAAAUGCCUUGCAAAGGAAUAUGAAUGCCUUGGCUGGCAAUGGAGAAUCAUGAAGGUUCUGAACAGAGGAAUGAUGUAAUCAGAAUAGAGGUUUAAAAAGAUCAAUCUGGCAGUACGAUGUGGAACAGUUUGGAGGAAGCCGAGGAGUUACGAGACUGGGGGCAAUAAUAAGAAAACUGCUGAGCCACUGAUAAUCUGUGUGGCCACAUUCUUCCCCGUGGUUGCACACAUGAUGUGCAAGCCAACUCCCUUAAAAUCAAAGGGAUAAAAGAAUGCAGACUCCUAGAAUCGGCAAUCUAGACACCCCAGUGAGAAGGACACCUGACAGCGCACUUACUUCCCAGGUAAGGAAGGAAUGGGAUGGGAUCAAAUUUCUCAAACAAGAAGCCAACAGCUAACAUUACUCCAUGGUGAAAAGCUGAAAACCUGUUCUCUAAAAUCAGGCACAAGAUAAGGAUGCCCACUCUCACUGUUUCUUUUUGACACAGUAUUAGAAUUCCUAGCCACAGCAAUCAGAAAGCAUUUUUCCUGGCUCUGCCCUACAGCUGCAAAAUAUAAAAAUCCUCAGAUCUUAUCGAAAAAGUACACUGUUUGAUUUCUUCCUCAAGUUUGCACAGCAGCUUAAACAUACACAUGCCUUGUGGACAGAAGACUGUCUAAUAAAGAAUAUAAACUUUAUGCCUUGUUUUUUCAUACUGUCCCCUUUAUUUAGAAUGCCCUUCCUCUGACAUUUAUACCUGGCAAACUCC